rnacentral:rRNA from 1 species
GAACCGGGCUUCGGCCCGGGGCAGAGCCGCGAACGGGUGAGUAACACGUGGGUUAUCUGCCCAGUUGACAGGGACAACCCGGGGAAACCCGGGCUAAUACCUGAUGUGCCCCUCGGGGGAAAGGAAGCUUCGGCCUCCGCAACUGGAUGAGCCCGCGGCCCAUUAGCUUGUUGGUGGGGUAAUGGCCUACCAAGGCUGCGAUGGGUAGCUGGUCUGAGAGGACGAUCAGCCACACUGGGACUGAGACACGGCCCAGACUCCUACGGGAGGCAGCAGUGGGGAAUCUUGCGCAAUGCGCGAAAGCGUGACGCAGCAACGCCGCGUGGAGGAAGACGGCCUUCGGGUUGUAAACUCCUUUCAGUUGGGACGAAGGUUCACCGGUGAAUAGUCGGUUGGACUGACGGUACCUUCAGAAGAAGCCCCGGCUAACUACGUGCCAGCAGUCGCGGUAAUACGUAGGGGGCUAGCGUUGUCCGGAAUCAUUGGGCGUAAAGCGCGUGUAGGCGGCUCGGUAAGUCCGCUCUGAAAGCCCGGGGCUCAACCCCGGGAGGCGGGUGGAUACUGCCGAGCUCGAGUCCGGAAGAGGCAAGUGGAAUUCCCGGUGUAGCGGUGGAAUGCGCAGAUAUCGGGAGGAACACCAAUGGCGAAGGCAGCUUGCUGGGACGGUACUGACGCUGA